ACAUUCAUAGAUAAAGAUGAUUGAAGUUGAGAUCGACCUUAUCACUGAUUGUCUAAAAUAAAAAGUACGUUUUAUCAAAAAAUAUGUAUAUUGGAAACAUCAUAAAAUUCGUAUUAUUUUAUGUUCAUAUAUAACCUACAUGAUUUAUCGUCUGUGCCAAUUGUGGGUCGGUAUUGUCAAGUUUUUCCAUUUUUCGUUUUACAAUCAACCUACCGAGCAAGGCUGUACUCUGGACUUGUUUACCUAUAUCCUUUUAUAGUAAGCAUGAAUUCCCUUCACAUGUUUGUAUUCCCAUCCGAAAAGUUGAUCAACUCGUUUUCCUUUCUCGCAACCAAUAAUCGCACUAUAUAAAUAGAUCAUCAUUAAUCGAGUAGAAUUUUCGAUCGUGCUAUUAUCCUCAAAAUUCGACAUAUUUUUUUUUUAAUGUAAUAUUAACCAUGAAUCACUCGAUGUAAGUAUAAAUAGACCGUGUCUGAUUCAAAGGCACUGUUUCAGCGUAAAAUAUAUAUAUAGACUACAUAUUGUUCCCAAUAAGAACUAAAUUGGGCAGUUAAUAAAUAAAACCCAUAUGUAUUAACGAGAUAUAUUUUUAGAACUUAUCGAGUUUUAAAUACGAUCGUUACAGUAAUUCUGAUAAGAUUCUUCUGAUACUAUAUGUAACGUUAAGAUCCACUAACAAUUUUAAAUGGUAACUAAAGAACUCUCCAUGACCGAUGGAGAAAUUUCGCCGAAAAAUUUCAAUGAAAAUUCAAAGCUCACCUCGAUCCAAUAAUUAUUUUGUAAUUAAUGAGAAUUCUAUACAUCGUGUUUGUUGCAUAAGCGUUUGAGGGGAUGUUUUAUCACGUAAUGUCAACUUAUUAUAUGUCAACUUGGCUUCACGAUUUCAGAUGUAUUAUACCGCUGAAGUACUAAAAGUCAGCCAUUGAAAAUUAGUCAUACGAUCGCAGUAUUUGGCCCCGAUCCAAACCUCUUCUGCUGGACGUGAAAAUACGUGUGCAGGUCGUGUGGCCAGGUAUCAUGUAAUAUAGGUGCUUUAUAAUCAAGAUAUUGCAUCGUGACGCAACAACAAACCGAGACCUUGCUCGUCGUGACCUAACUUUAUCAUCACCUAAUGAUAAAAUUUCAUCUUAUCUAUAUUUGCAAUAAUAUAGUAGUAUUAGUGAAAUAAAUGAAUUCUAUUUGAGUUAUGUAAUUAUAAAUUUGUUUAACUUUCAAAAUUAAUUCAAUAUAUACACAUCUUUUUUUUAAGAAUAAUCGUUCUAUAUGGAAGAAUUCAAAAUAAUAUUUACAUUAAAUUGAUAUUAUAAUAUUCUAAUGUGUCUAAUGUGCCAGUAAAUAAUUCAGAAGAAUUCUAUUUAAAGCUACAUGUUUAACUGUUUUGCAUCGUGUUGAUCAAUAUGAUACAAUUUGAUGAUUUUUUUUUUAAAUAUCCAAGGAUGACGAUAGUAUAAUUAAUACUAUGACUUUAGCCAUGAGAACUAUAUUUAAAGGCGACUGCAAGUGACAUAAUAGUACAUAGAGUAUGUCUAUACAGCCGGUUAUGCCAUUGAGAUGUAAUUAAUGGUAUAUAGAAACCUUUGAAAUGAUGCUUGAUUGGAUAAAGGCCAAGCAAAGUAGGAAUAAGAUUUCAUAAUCUAAUGCGCGAUUUUCAAUUACCCUUCGGAAACUUCCAUAAUUCAUUAAGUAACCUUAUAUAAUUUUUUUAUCUAAAAAUUAAUGUUUUGUAAUUCAUAUUCAUUUAAGAUAUUUUGUAAUUGAUAUUUAUUUAAGACCGCAAUAAACAAUAUCUUAACAUUA